AUACGGAGGGUGCAAGCGUUACUCGGAAUCACUGGGCGUAAGGCGCGCGCAGGCGGGCUGAUAAGUUGGAUGUGAAAGCCUACGGCUCAACCGUAGAACUGCAUCCAAAACUGUCAGUCUAGAGUCUGGGAGGGGAAGAUGGAAUUAGUUGUGUAGGGGUAAAAUCCGUAGAGAUAACUAGGAAUACCAAAAGCGAAGGCGAUCUUCUGGAACAGUACUGACGCUGAGGCGCGAAAGCGUGGGGAGCAAACAGGAUUAGAAACCCUGGUAGUCC
rnacentral:rRNA from 1 species